CACGUAGGGGGCGAGCGUUAUCCGGAUUCAUUGGGCGUAAAGCGUGCGCAGGCGGCCGCUCAAGCGGGACCUCUAAUCCUGGGGCUCAACCUCAGGCCGGGUCCCGAACUGGCCGGCUCGAGUUCGGUAGAGGAAGACGGAAUUCCCAGUGUAGCGGUGAAAUGCGCAGAUAUUGGGAAGAACACCGGUGGCGAAGGCGGCUUUCUGGACAGUAACUGACGCUGAGGCGCGAAAGCGUGGGGAGCAAACA
rnacentral:rRNA from 1 species